GCGGGCGUGGCGGAACUGGUAGACGCACUGGAUUUAGGUUCCAGCGGCUUAGGCCAUGGGGGUUCAAGUCCCUUCGCCCGCA
rnacentral:tRNA from 1 species